CAAGGUUACGCGCUGGGUAGCGCAGCGCAUCUGUUUCGGGGUCAGGGUCGGGCCGGCCAUAGGUUCGAAUCCUGCCACCUUUC
rnacentral:tRNA from 1 species